rnacentral:lncRNA from 1 species
CAUCCCAUGAUGCAACGCGGUAAUGCUAACUUUUGCAAUACACAUGAUAAACAACAGCAGUGGUUUCCGGCAACUCCAGCCCCAGCAGCGAAUAUAAAUGGUCUUCAAGAAGAUUGAUCUCCGCUGACUCGGUGUCAUCCCUAAGGCCGUGUCCACACGCUGUAACACUGCUACAGACAACUGAAGAAAACGGAGACGAAGAAGUAUACAAACUGCAGAAGAAGACAACAACAACAACAAAAAGAAGAUGGUGAACGCAAAGGAAAGCUCCAAGACCAAAGCCAAUCAAUUGGUGUGGACAAACAGCGAGGUGAAACUCCUGUUGCGAGUCACUCUAGACUACAAAUCAAAUAAGCUACAGGAGGGUGUCGACUGGGAGUCCUGCAAGUGGAAGUACGAGGACAUAAAGGGCCUGUUUGAGGCGCAAUACCCGAAUAAAUCGACAGAGAAGGAUUUCCCUCACGACGUGAAAACAAUAUCAAGAAUACAGGUCCAAACCAAGUUGAAAAAUAUACGAAAGAACUACAGGAAGGCGGUGGUCGCUGGGCGUCGAAGUGGCAGUCGGGUGGUGCUCAAGUAUUUUGAGCUAUGUGAGCAGCUUUGGGGUGGCUCGCCUGCUACGCAAUGUAUCGACGCCGCCAUCGAGACGAGUGACCAGGAGGGCAUUGAGGACCUCGAAUACUCCUCUUCAGAGUCAGCGGAGACUGCUGAUUCUGAACCAACUGAAGCCAUACAAAAUCUCUCUCCUGCGGUUGUAAAGAAGCGCAGGGAUUUGCUCCAGGCAAAGCUGAACAACCACAGAGGGGACAGGCUAAAGAGGAAGGUUCCGGCUACCCCCCUUGAGCAGAGUCACAAAGUGGCUGAAAUGAAGAUUAGUAAAGGAUCUUCAAGAACAAACUCCGCAGUAGAAGAAAACAACAACAAUAAGAAGAUAGCGAACGCAGAGGAAAGCUCCAAGACCCAAAUCGAUUCGUUGGUGUGGACAGACGACGAGGUGAAACUCCUGUUGCAAGUCACUCUGGACUACAAAUCAAAUAAGAUACAGGAGGGUGUCGAAUGGGAGUCCUGCAAGUCGAAGUACGAGGACAUAAAGGGCCUGUUUGAGGCGCAAUACCCGAAGAACUCGACAGAGAAGGAUUUCCCUCACGACGCGAAAACAAUAUCAAGAGUACAGGUCACAAGCAAGUUGAAAAAUGUUAAAAUGAACUACAGGAAGGCGGUAGACGCUGGGCGUCGAAGUGGCAAUGGGCGGGUGGUGCUAAUAUAUUUUGAGCUAUGUGAGCAGCUUUGGGGUGGUUCGCCUGCUACGCAAUGUAUCGACGCCGCCAUCGAGACGAGUGACCAGGAGGGCAUUGAGGACCUCGAAUACUCCUCUUCAGAGUCAGAGGAGACUGCUGAUUCUGAACCAACUGAAGCCAUACGAAAUUUUCCUCCUGCAGUUGUAAAGAAGCGCAGGGAUUUGCUCCAGGCAAAGCUGAACAACCACAGAGGGGACAGGCUAAAGAGGAAGGUUCCGGCUACCCCCCUCGAGCAGGAGGAUCUUCAAAUAAAGAGGCGGAUGUUGGCGUUAAUGGAGGAGAAUUCCAGACGCAACUCGGACAACAUUGCCCAAAUCAACACAAACAUUGGGCAAAUUACCAGCACUAUACAGGACGGCAUCUCCCUGAUGAGGGAGUUAUUACUCCAGCCCAAUGCAAGUAACUUUGCACACCCCCACAGCAGCAGCGUUGGGAAUGGGCAAUUCCAAGGGCACCCACCAGCUUUCAUGCAUACCACACCGCACCCCAGUACACCGGCCUUCCGGCACACACCUAGGCCUCAACAAGCAAAUACACACAAUCACAUGCCACCCCAAUAUCCACCAACACAUGCCGCCCCACAGCAGUCAUUUUCGUACGGAUGACCAUGCACUGUGCCUCGCUCUGUUGCACUGCACUGUUGCACUGGACUUUACACUUGUUAUUUUUUAUUUUUUUGUAUUGUAUAUAGUAAAAUCCUUUGUGUUUUAAAGUUUUAAUAUUUAGAUAGUUGAUUUUUUUUAAUUACCACUUAUCUGUCCUAAGGACAGUUAUUCUGAUAUUGCAUUUGCAUAUCCAAUAAAUAAAAAAAUACUAGAAGCUCA